rnacentral:lncRNA from 10 species
CUGGGAUUCUGGAAUGUUAGACCUGGGUGAGGUCUUAGAGAUGAGGCAUGUUUUUGACACACAGGUUCUCACCCUGAGUCAAUGCCCCAUUUUCAUAGCCAAUAUUUUGUAAUGCUCCUUUUUGUUUUGAAAUGAAAUUCGUGGAUAAUGAAACCCGACUAUACACAAUUUCAACAUGACAUGCUAUCUCAGCUUCAAUAUUUUUAAAAACCAAAGGAAAGCAAUCAAAAUAGAGUGUGACUUCAAUUUACAGAUGCCCAAGGAUGAUUUCUAUUUUUUCUUUUUUGAGACAGGGUCUCCCUCUGUCACCUAGGUUGGAGUACAGUGGUGUGAUCAUGGUUCACUGCAGCCUUGACCUCCAAGGCUCAAAUAAUUCUCCCACCUCAGCCUCCUGAGUAGCUGGAACUAUAGGCACAUGCCACCAUGCCUAGCUAUUUUUCUUUUUUAACUUUUGUAGACAUGGGGUUUUACUAUGUUGCUCAAGUUGGUCUCGAACUCCCGGGCUCAAGCAAUCCUCUCACUUCAGUCUUUCAAAGUGCUCGGAUUGCAGGCCUAAGCCAUUGCACCAGGCUAGGAUGACUAUUUUAAAAGAUGUAAAGCAUCUGCAUGAAUUUUCAUCAUGCCUCUAGGAAGUGAGACCACGCUCUCAAUUGCCAACAAGUGCUGUGAUUCACCCAGAGUCAUCCAAGCCAGGGCUUGACCCCAGGCCCUCCCCAUCUACUCAGACUCUCCUCUCUGCAGCAAGAACAGAAAAUAUGAGGAGAUGUGGGGUAACCAGACAUUGGUGGCUUUAUGAGUAAUAUCCUAUAUGCUUGUGAUUUUCACAUGGAUCUUGUUUCACGAGAGCCUCACCUCCUCCUCAGCAAAUUCCCUCAUGCAAACAUGAGAUUAAGCAACUGUCUGUACAUUUAUGUGCCUGUGCUUCACGGGCCGUAAACAGGUACAGGGGACCAUUUUACAUUCCCCAUUGUGACCAACUUUGCCUUCAUUUUCUCCUCAUAUUUCCCUUUCACCCUCCUUCCUUCCUCUCCUCUUCGCUUUCUUACCCCUGAAAAUUGCAGUUUUUUGAAACUUGACACAUGCAUGAUGCUUUAAAUGCAUUAUCUCCUUUUAUCUUCAACCAAACUUGUUAGUGAGUACUAUUAUCUCAUUCCACAAAUGAGGAGACAAGAGAAUAAGGAAUAUCUAAGAAAUGUGGUCAAAGGCAGAAACAUGUAUGUGAUAACUUGGGAUUCAAAGCCAGGUCUAUCUGACUCCGAACUCGAAGAGAUUCUACCAGGCCCUGUCUAUCCUCCCCUAGUCUUCCAAUCCUGUUUGGACUGCUCUUUUCCCUUGGUCAUGAGUUUCUUUUGCCAGAACAUCACCUAACUCCAACAUUUUCUCAGAAGCAGGUAAAAUUAUAACCAGUCUUAUGCUCAGUGAGGAGGAAAUUAUGCUGAAAGUACCAGCUGUUGACCUAGCAAGAGAAAUGCCCUAGACUGCCCCCUCCCCUUCCCUACCCCAACCUCUGAACAUUGUGGAGUUGCACAGUGGAGCAGCAGGUAACCUAGAGAGGGCAGGUGAGGCCUAGUACCUAGAGAUCUUGAGCAACUCGUUGGCGACGCCUUACCAUAGGCCCAGCAAGGACACUACAGGGAAGCAGUCUUGGAAAACCACACCACUGGCCGGGUGCGGUGGCUCACACCUCUAAUCCCAGCACUUUGUGAGGCUGAGGCGGGCGGAUCACGAGGUCAGGAGAUCGAGACCAUCCUGG